rnacentral:tRNA from 1 species
GCCGAUGUAGCUCAGUUGGUAGAGCAAUGCUUUCGUAAAGCAGAGGUCAGCGGUUCAAAUCCGCUCAUCGGCUCCA